ACUCGAUUCUGUAGCCGGCUCUGCCAAGAGACAUGGCGUUGCGGUGAUAUGAGGGCAGGGGUCAUGGAAGAAAGCCUUCUGGUUUUAGACCCACAGGAAGAUCUGUGACGCGCUCUUGGGUAGAGCACACGUUGCUGGGCGUGCGCUUGAAAAGAGCCUAAGAAGAGGGGGCGUCUGGAAGGAACCGCAACGCCAAGGGAGGGUGUCCAGCCUUCCCGCUUCAACACCUGGACACAUUCUGGAAAGUUUCCUAAGAAAGCCAGAAAAAUAAUUUAAAAAAAAAUCCAGAGGCCAGACGGGCUAAUGGGGCUUUACUGCGACUAUCUGGCUUAAUCCUCCAAACAACCUUGCCAUACCAGCCCAUCAGUCCUCUGAGACAGAUGAGGCCUCACUCUGUCACCCAGGUUGGGGUGGAGUGGCACAGUCACAGCUCACUAUAACCUCAAGCUCCUGGGCUCAAGUGAUCCUGCCACCUCAGCCUCCUAAGUAGCUGGAACUACAGAUGUGCACUGCCAUGCCAGGCUUGUCUAACAUUUUUAUGUGUUGCUUCAUCCAGUUUGCUAGAGUUUUUGGAGAUUUCUGUCUU
rnacentral:lncRNA from 1 species